rnacentral:rRNA from 1 species
GGCGAUAAGUUUGAUCCUGGCUCAGAACGAACGCUGGCGGCAGGCCUAACACAUGCAAGUCGAGCGCCCCGCAAGGGGAGCGGCAGACGGGAGAGUAACACGUGGGAACGCGCCCUUCGGUUCGGAAUAACUCAGGGAAACUUGAGCUAAUACCGGAUACGCCCUUACGGGGAAAGAUUCAUCGCCGAAGGAACGGCCCGCGUCCGAUUAGCUAGUUGGUGAGGUAAUGGCUCACCAAGGCAACGAUCGGUAGCUGGUCUAAGAGGAUGAUCAGCCUCACUGGGACUGAGACACGGCCCAGACUCCUACGGGAGGCAGCAGUGGGGAAUAUUGGACAAUGGGCGCAAGCCUGAUCCAGCCAUGCCGCGUGGGUGAUGAAGGCCCUAGGGUUGUAAAGCCCUUUCGGCGGGGAAGAUAAUGACGGUACCCGCAGAAGAAGCCCCGGCUAACUUCGUGCCAGCAGCCGCGGUAA